AAAAAUUAAGAAGCGAAAAAUAAAAAUUUAAAAAGAUGACAAAUAAGAAAAAAAAAACAAAACAAAAACUUAAAUAAACCCAGAAAUAAAAGAGAUAGAAGAGGCACCAAACAACUGUGGCCGUAUAAAAAGCACUUAAAUUAACGCUUAUUGCAAAAUUAUCAUUCAAACUAAACACACAAAAUGCUGGCACACAUGCUGAACUAUGCAUGUGUGUUCAUACAUAUAUGCAAAAUUAGCGACUGAAAGCAAAUCGAGGUGCUGCAAUUAAAUGUGCCACUGCAAUAAAGCAAAAAACAAAAAGAAACUUGGACAAGAGAAGUAGGAACAACAGCAACUAAAGCACCGCGUCAACACAUUAAAAUUUUGACGAUCAAACAACAAAUGAAUAUUUGCAGGCAUAAGGCAUUUACAUAUGUAUAUUCACAAAAAUUAAGAUGACAGCAAUCGCAAGCGCCAACGUCAUCGCUCAGCAUCGGAAAUAUGCAAAAUGCGCUGUUGUAGCUGCAGACUUUACAAAUCGUUUGCAGAGCGACAAAACAAAAAGCUCGUAUUUGCAAUAAUGAAGUCAACAUUAACGUCCGCAAAGGUGGCAAUUACGCGAGCAAACAUUUAGCAUGGAAAUCAAGCUAAAAAAAAUUGUUUUAAAAUAAAAAAAAAUUUUAAUUACAAAACAAAAAUGCUAUUAGAAACGGUAGCAUAUAAUUUACGCACUAUCCAAU